GAAAGAUGGUGAGCUAUGCCUGAGUGCAGCGAAGACAGAAUAAACCCUGGUGGAGGCCCGCAGCGAUAAUGACAUACAAAUCAUUCGUCAGAAUUGGGUAUAGGGGUGAAAGACUAAUCAAACCAUCUAGUUGCU
rnacentral:ncRNA from 1 species